UACGAAGGGGGCUAGCGUUGUUCGGAAUUACUGGGCGUAAAGCGCACGCAGGCGGAUCGAUAAGUCAGGGGUGAAAGUCCAGGGCUCAACCCUGGGAUGCCGGUCGAUACUGCCGGACUAGAGUUCGGAAGAGGCGAGUGGAAUUCCCGGUGUAGCGGUGAAAUGCGCAGAUAUCGGGAGGAACACCUAUGGCGAAGGCAGCUCGCUGGGCCUGUACUGACGCUCAUGCACGAAAGCGUGGGGAGCAAAAGGG
rnacentral:rRNA from 1 species